UAAGUUUGAUCCUGGCUCAGAACGAACGCUGGCGGCAUGCCUAACACAUGCAAGUCGAACGAGACCUUCGGGUCUAGUGGCGCACGGGUGCGUAACGCGUGGGAAUCUGCCCUUGGGUUCGGAAUAACAGUGAGAAAUUACUGCUAAUACCGGAUGAUGACGUAAGUCCAAAGAUUUAUCGCCCAAGGAUGAGCCCGCGUAAGAUUAGCUAGUUGGUGGGGUAAAGGCCUACCAAGGCGACGAUCUUUAGCUGGUCUGAGAGGAUGAUCAGCCACACUGGGACUGAGACACGGCCCAGACUCCUACGGGAGGCAGCAGUGGGGAAUAUUGGACAAUGGGCGAAAGCCUGAUCCAGCAAUGCCGCGUGAGUGAUGAAGGCCUUAGGGUUGUAAAGCUCUUUUACCAGGGAUGAUAAUGACAGUACCUAGAAAUUAAGGCUUCCCGACUAACUUCCGUUGCCAGGCAGGCCGCGGUUAUUACGUAGGCAGCAAGCGUUGUUCGGAGUUAUUGGGCCGUAAAAGAGUA
rnacentral:rRNA from 1 species